rnacentral:rRNA from 1 species
AGCAGCCGCGGUAAUUCCAGCUCCAAUAGCGUAUAUUAAAGUUGUUGCAGUUAAAAAAGCUCGUAGUUGAAUUUCGGGGUCAGUAGGUUGGUCGUGCCACUGGUACGUACUGGCCUCACUGAUUCCUCCUUCCUGAUGAGCCGUAAUGCCAUUAAUUUGGUGUUGCGAGGAAUCUGGACUGUUACUUUGAAAAAAUUAGAGUGUUUAAAGCAGGCUAACGCUUGAAUACAUUAGCAUGGAAUAAUUGAAAUAGGACGUUUGAUUCUAUUUUUGUUGGUUUCUAGGAUCGACGUAAUGAUUAAUAGGGAUAGUUGGGGGCAUUAGUAUUCAAUUGUCAGAGGUGAAAUUCUUGGAUUUAUUGAAGACUAACUACUGCGAAAGCAUUUGCCAAGGAUGUUUUCAUUAAUCAAGAACGAAAGUUAGGGGAUCGGAAGACGAUCAGAGUACCGUGUAGUCUUUAACCAUAAACCUAUGCCGACUAGGGAUCGGAUGGAUGUUAAUUUUUAAUGACUCAUUCGCG